UACGUAGGCAGCAAGCGUUGCUCGGAAUCACUGGGCGUAAAGGGUGCGUAGGCGGGUCUUUAAGUCAGGGGUGAAAUCCUGGAGCUCAACUCCAGAACUGCCUUUGAUACUGAGGAUCUUGAGUUCGGGAGAGGUGAGUGGAACUGCGAGUGUAGAGGUGAAAUUCGUAGAUAUUCGCAAGAACACCAGUGGCGAAGGCGGCAUCCUGGACCGGCAUUGACGCUGAGGCGCGAAAGCCAGGGGGAGCAAACGGG
rnacentral:rRNA from 1 species